ensembl:lncRNA
GUUGCUAUGUAGAAGCUAGGUAUGUUUACAAUGGCAUUCCUAGAGGUUGCUAUGUGGAUGCUGUGGUGUUUAGGAGGUUGCUAUGUGGUUGCCAGGGGAUGCUUUGUGGAUGUUGGGGUGUUCUUAGAGGUUGCUAUGAUGCUGCUAGGAAGUUGCUAUGGUGAUCUGGGAGAUUGUUAUGCUUUUCCUGUUCCUAGAGACAGCUGUGUGGUUGCUAUGGGUGUUCUGGGGGGUUGCUUUGCAGUUACUAUGGGGUCUGGGAGGUUGCUAUAUGGUUGCUAGGGUGUUUAGGAGGUUGUCAUGCUAGGCUGUUCUGGGAGGCUGCUGUGCAGUUGCUAGGUGUUUUGGAGGAUGUUGUGUGUCGCUGGUGUGUUUGUGAGGUUGCUAUACUGUUGCUAGUUGGUUUAUUUUAAGGGGUUGCUAUGUGGUUUCUAUGGUGUUUGGGAGGUUGCUGUGUUCUGGAAGGCUUCUAGUUGCUAGGUGGUUACUAUGGUGUUUUAGGAGGUUGCUAUACGGUUGCUAAGUGGUUGCUGGUUUAUUUUGAGGGGUUGUUAUGUGGUUGCUA